rnacentral:ncRNA from 2 species
CGCACUCAGAAGUGAGCUGGUGAAGCUGAAUGUGUGUAAGGCUUCAUGGGAAUCCGGUGAAAAACCGGAACUGGCGCGCAGCGGUGAGUGGGGACCGCCCCAUCCAAAGGCCACUGGCUUUUUACAAGCUGGGAAGGCGUUGGGGGAUAAACGGGAUGAUCCACAAGUCCGAAGACCGACCAGCUCUGACCAUCUUGU